GAUGAACGCUAGCGGGAGGCCUAACACAUGCAAGCCGAGCGGUAUUGUUUCUUCGGCAAUGAGAGAGCGGCGUACGGGUGCGUAACACGUGUGCAACCUGCCUUUAUCUGGGGGAUAGCCUUUCGAAAGGAAGAUUAAUACUCCAUAAUAUAUUGAACGGCAUCGUUUAAUAUUGAAAGCUCCGGCGGAUAGAGAUGGGCACGCGCAAGAUUAGCUAGUUGGUGAGGUAACGGCUCACCAAGGCGAUGAUCUUUAGGGGGCCUGAGAGGGUGAUCCCCCACACGGGUACUGAGACACGGACCAGACUCCUACGGGAGGCAGCAGUGAGGAAUAUUGGUCAAUGGGUGCAAGCCUGAACCAGCCAUCCCGCGUGAAGGACGACUGCCCUAUGGGUUGUAAACUUCUUUUGGAUAGGGAUAAACCUACCCUCGAGAGGGUAGCUGAAGGUACUAUACGAAUAAGCACCGGCUAACUCCGUG
rnacentral:rRNA from 1 species